ACAGAACAUUGUGGGAUAUUUCAGAACAUCAUAUAUCACACAAGACAAAACAAAAGACAUCAUAAAAAUUUUCUCAGGUGGAAAUAUUUGAUGGAAGAGGACAAGAAAUAACACGGAGAACGAAUGAGAGGAUCGGGAUAGCGGUAAAUGAACAAGUGAUUGACCCAACGGUAUAUAACAUGUCAGGGUCGUUAACACUAAGAAUCUCUCACUUUUUCGGCGAGUGAAAAUAAAGAAGAGGAUGACGAGUAGCUUAUUUCUAGGAAACAUAUAUGCGGACAGGGCCUCUCGACGAGCGAGCGUCGCUGUGGACGAGAGUUCAUCAUCACUGUCACUAUCGCUAGAAAUAUUGAAACAUCUGAGUUGAACGGAGUUCGUUUCCACUGUCUGAAGCACUGUCGUCGUCUUCUAUCUUGUCAGGUUCAAAAUAAUAUUCGUCAUCACUACUAUCACUAUCGAACAUGUCCUUCCUGCA